rnacentral:rRNA from 1 species
AGAGUUUGAUCAUGGCUCAGGAUGAACGCUAGCGGCAAGCUUAAUACAUGCAAGUCGAGGGGCAGCACGGGUAGCAAUACCUGGUGGCGACCGGCAAACGGGUGCGGAACACGUACGCAACCUUCCCAAAACUGGUGAAUAGCCUUUCGAAAGAGAGAUUAAUACACCGUAAGAUAACGAGUAGGCAUCUACUUGUUAUUAUAGUAGCAAUACGGUUUUGGAUGGGCGUGCGCCUGAUUAGGUAGUUGGCGGGGUAACGGCCCACCAAGCCUGCGAUCAGUAACUGGUGUGAGAGCACGACCAGUCACACGGGCACUGAGACACGGGCCCGACUCCUACGGGAGGCAGCAGUAAGGAAUAUUGGUCAAUGGACGCAAGUCUGAACCAGCUAUGCCGCGUGAAGGAUGAAGGUCCUCUGGAUUGUAAACUUCUUUUAUCUGGGACGAAAAAAGCUCAUUCUUGAGCACUUGACGGUACCAGAGGAAUAAGCACCGGCUAACUCCGUGCCAGCAGCCGCGGUAAUACGGAGGGUGCAAGCGUUAUCCGGAUUCACUGGGUUUAAAGGGUGCGUAGGUGGGCAGGUAAGUCAGUGGUGAAAUCUCCGAGCUUAACUCGGAAACUGCCAUUGAUACUAUCUGUCUUGAAUUAUCUGGAGGUGAGCGGAAUAUGUCAUGUAGCGGUGAAAUGCUUAGAUAUGACAUAGAACACCAAUUGCGAAGGCAGCUCACUACGGAUAUAUUGACACUGAGGCACGAAAGCGUGGGGAUCAAACAGGAUUAGAUACCCCUGUAGUCC